CACAAUGUCCAUAAACAUACGUCCACUCUCCUCCCUACAUCCCUUGUUACUGCCAAACUGUUGGAAUUCAAAACUAUCACGGACUGCGAUUCAACUUCUGACACUCCUAUUAUUGCUAUUAAUAUCAAAUGGUUUCCACCUCUUGCUACGUAUUACAAGCUCAAUGUUGAUGGCUCUCAUAAAAAAACUCACUACUAGAGGAGGCAUUGUCGGGGUCAUCCUCGAUUCCAAUGGCAAUUGGAUUUUUGGUUUUGCUGGACUUUGCGAUGCCAGAAAUGCUGUGCAUUCUGGCCUUACAUCAAGGCCUUGAAAUAGCUGUGAACAGAAAUUUACUUCCCCGACUGUAGAAGUUACUCUCGAAGAAACUGGGGAAUUCAGUACUCAUCCACAACUUUUAGCAAGCAAGUAGGGUGGCUAAUGGGCUGUGUAAGAUGGGUGCAUCUUUUCCAGGAAACCAAGUGCAGUUUUUGACAAGUCCUUCAAGCUCCAUUUUGUCUUUCAUUGAAGCUGACUCUCUUCAAGUUUGUCUCCAGAACUGCUUGUAAUAAGUUAGCUAGCUUAGGGAAUCCAUUUGUACUUUCUAACUCUCACUCUGCAACUGCUAAGUUGCCUAUGAACUCUACUAUGUUUUUAU